rnacentral:SRP_RNA from 1 species
AGCCGGAUCCUGAACAACAGAAAAGUUGCGAACCCCGCCAGGUCCGGAAGGAAGCAACGGUAGUAAUGAUUCUGGGUGUUUGGGGUAUCCGGCUAUC